GACGAACGCUGGUUGCGUGCUUAACACAUGCAAGUCGAACGCUGAAGCCCUCAGCUUGCUGGGGGUGGAUGAGUGGCGAACGGGUGAGUAACACGUGAGUAACCUGCCCCUGACUUCGGGAUAAGCCCGGGAAACUGGGUCUAAUACCGGAUAUGACCGUUCCUCGCAUGAGGGAUGGUGGAAAGUUGUUUCGGUUGGGGAUGGGCUCGCGGCCUAUCAGCUAGAUGGUGGGGUAAUGGCCCACCAUGGCGACGACGGGUAGCCGGCCUGAGAGGGCGACCGGCCACACUGGGACUGAGACACGGCCCAGACUCCUACGGGAGGCAGCAGUGGGGAAUAUUGCACAAUGGGGGAAACCCUGAUGCAGCGACGCAGCGUGCGGGAUGACGGCCUUCGGGUUGUAAACCGCUUUCAGCAGGGAAGAAGCCACCUUUGGUGGUGACGGUACCUGCAGAAGAAGUACCGGCUAACUACGUGCCAGCAGCCGCGGUAAUACGUAAGGUACGAGCGUUGUCCGGAUUUAUGGGCGUAAAGAGCUCGUAGGUGGUUGGUCACGUCUGCUGUGGAAACGCAACGCUUAACGUUGCGCGUGCAGUGGGUACGGGCUGACUAGAGUGCAGUAGGGGAGUCUGGAAUUCCUGGUGUAGCGGUGAAAUGCGCAGAUAUCAGGAGGAACACCGGUGGCGAAGGCGGGACUCUGGGCUGUAACUGACACUGAGGAGCGAAAGCAUGGGGAGCGAACAGGAUUAGAUACCCUGGUAGUCCAUGCCGUAAACGUUGGGCACUAGGUGUGGGGGACAUUCCACGUUCUCCGCGCCGUAGCUAACGCAUUAAGUGCCCCGCCUGGGGAGUACGGUCGCAAGGCUAAAACUCAAAGGAAUUGACGGGGGCCCGCACAAGCGGCGGAGCAUGCGGAUUAAUUCGAUGCAACGCGAAGAACCUUACCAAGGCUUGACAUACACCAGAUCGGGCUGGAAACAGUCCUUCCCCUUUGGGGUUGGUGUACAGGUGGUGCAUGGUUGUCGUCAGCUCGUGUCGUGAGAUGUUGGGUUAAGUCCCGCAACGAGCGCAACCCUCGUUCUAUGUUGCCAGCACGUGAUGGUGGGAACUCAUAGGAGACUGCCGGGGUCAACUCGGAGGAAGGUGGGGAUGACGUCAAAUCAUCAUGCCCUUUAUGUCUUGGGCUUCACGCAUGCUACAAUGGCUGGUACAGAGAGAUGCGAGACCGUGAGGUUUUAGCGAAUCCCUUAAAGCCAGUCUCAGUUCGGAUCGUAGUCUGCAAUUCGACUACGUGAAGUCGGAGUCGCUAGUAAUCGCAGAUCAGCAACGCUGCGGUGAAUACGUUCCCGGGCCU
rnacentral:rRNA from 1 species